GCGCAACCGUUGGGGUGCCUUCGCAGGAAGGCUGAGAGGCGCGGUGCGCCAACCCAUAGAACCUGAUCCGGGCAAUGCCGGCGGAGGGAACGGACAGCGCGCAAGC
rnacentral:ncRNA from 1 species